GGGCCGGCCCCUAAUAAUUGUUUUAAGCCACUAAGUUCUGGGAUAGUUUGUUUCACAGUAAUAGAUAGUUAACACACCCCUGAACCUAACUGUCCUGUAACCCCUCAAUCUAACUGUCUCUCAUCAGCUAACCGCUGAAUUGAACUCUCCUUCCACUCCAGCAGCUAAACUCCUUGAAUCUAAACCUGACCCCCUAAAAGUCGAACACUCAUUCAUUCAUUCAUUCAUUCAUUCUUGCAACUGAUACCUAAAACCCUGGCACACAUAUAAUUAUACUAAGAUCUGAGGCUGGGGAAAGGGGCCUGUGACCUUGCUGGAAGUCUGUCCGCCCACACCCUCGGAUGAGCAGGGCGUCUCCAGUGAAGGCCAUGCUGUGGUCAUUCAGGAC